GGACGAACGCUGGCGGCGUGCUUAACACAUGCAAGUCGAACGGAAAGGCCCUGCUUUUGUGGGGUGCUCGAGUGGCGAACGGGUGAGUAACACGUGAGUAACCUGCCCUUGACUUUGGGAUAACUUCAGGAAACUGGGGCUAAUACCGGAUAGGAGCUCCUGCUGCAUGGUGGGGGUUGGAAAGUUUCGGCGGUUGGGGAUGGACUCGCGGCUUAUCAGCUUGUUGGUGGGGUAGUGGCUUACCAAGGCUUUGACGGGUAGCCGGCCUGAGAGGGUGACCGGCCACAUUGGGACUGAGAUACGGCCCAGACUCCUACGGGAGGCAGCAGUGGGGAAUAUUGCACAAUGGGCGGAAGCCUGAUGCAGCAACGCCGCGUGCGGGAUGACGGCCUUCGGGUUGUAAACCGCUUUCGCCUGUGACGAAGCGUGAGUGACGGUAAUGGGUAAAGAAGCACCGGCUAACUACGUGCCAGCAGCCGCGGUGAUACGUAGGGUGCGAGCGUUGUCCGGAUUUAUUGGGCGUAAAGGGCUCGUAGGUGGUUGAUCGCGUCGGAAGUGUAAUCUUGGGGCUUAACCCUGAGCGUGCUUUCGAUACGGGUUGACUUGAGGAAGGUAGGGGAGAAUGGAAUUCCUGGUGGAGCGGUGGAAUGCGCAGAUAUCAGGAGGAACCCCAGUGGCGAAGGCGGUUUCUCUGGGCCCUUUCCUGACGCUGAGGAGCGAAAGCGUGGGGAGCGAACAGGCUUAGAUACCCUGGUAGUCCACGCUGUAAACGGUGGGUACUAGGUGUGGGGUCCAUUCCACGGGUUCCGUGCCGUAGCUAACGCUUUAAGUACCCCGCCUGGGGAGUACGGCCGCAAGGCUAAAACUCAAAGGAAUUGACGGGGCCCCGCACAAGCGGCGGAGCAUGCGGAUUAAUUCGAUGCAACGCGUAGAACCUUACCUGGGUUUGACAUGGAUCGGGAGUGCUCAGAGAUGGGUGUGCCUCUUUUGGGGUCGGUUCACAGGUGGUGCAUGGCUGUCGUCAGCUCGUGUCGUGAGAUGUUGGGUUAAGUCCCGCAACGAGCGCAACCCUUGUUCACUGUUGCCAGCACGUUAUGGUGGGGACUCAGUGGAGACCGCCGGGGUCAACUCGGAGGAAGGUGGGGAUGACGUCAAGUCAUCAUGCCCCUUAUGUCCAGGGCUUCACGCAUGCUACAAUGGCUGGUACAGAGAGUGGCGAGCCUGUGAGGGUGAGCGAAUCUCGGAAAGCCGGUCUCAGUUCGGAUUGGGGUCUGCAACUCGACCUCAUGAAGUCGGAGUCGCUAGUAAUCGCAGAUCAGCAACGCUGCGGUGAAUACGUUCCCGGGGCUUGUACACACCGCCCGUCAAGUCAUGAAAGUUGGUAACACCCGAAGCCGGUGGCCUAACCGUUGUGGGGGAGCCGUCGAAGG
rnacentral:rRNA from 1 species